AGAGUUUGAUCCUGGCUCAGGAUGAACGCUAGCGGCAGGCUUAAUACAUGCAAGUCGAGGGGCAGCAUGAGUGUAGCAAUACAUUUGAUGGCGACCGGCAAACGGGUGCGGAACACGUACACAACCUUCCUAUAAGUGGGGAAUAGCCCAGAGAAAUUUGGAUUAAUACCCCGUAACAUAAUGAUGUGGCAUCACAUUAUUAUUAUAGCUACGGCGCUUAUUGAUGGGUGUGCGGCUGAUUAGAUAGUUGGCGGGGUAACGGCCCACCAAGUCUACGAUCAGUAGCUGAUGUGAGAGCAUGAUCAGCCACACGGGCACUGAGACACGGGCCCGACUCCUACGGGAGGCAGCAGUAAGGAAUAUUGGUCAAUGGACGCAAGUCUGAACCAGCCAUGCCGCGUGAAGGAUUAAGGUCCUCUGGAUUGUAAACUUCUUUUAUCUGGGACGAAAAAAGGCGAUUCUUCGUCACUUGACGGUACCAGAUGAAUAAGCACCGGCUAACUCCGUGCCAGCAGCCGCGGUAAUACGGAGGGUGCAAGCGUUAUCCGGAUUCACUGGGUUUAAAGGGUGCGUAGGCGGGUAGGUAAGUCAGUGGUGAAAUCCUGGAGCUUAACUCCAGAACUGCCAUUGAUACUAUCUAUCUUGAAUAUUGUGGAGGUAAGCGGAAUAUGUCAUGUAGCGGUGAAAUGCUUAGAUAUGACAUAGAACACCUAUUGCGAAGGCAGCUUACUACGCAUAUAUUGACGCUGAGGCACGAAAGCGUGGGGAUCAAACAGGAUUAGAUACCCUGGUAGUCCAA
rnacentral:rRNA from 1 species